GAUGAACGCUGGCGGCGUGCCUAAUACAUGCAAGUCGAGCGAACGGACGAGAAGCUUGCUUCUCUGAUGUUAGCGGCGGACGGGUGAGUAACACGUGGAUAACCUACCUAUAAGACUGGGAUAACUUCGGGAAACCGGAUCUAAUACCGGAUAAUAUUUUGAACCGCAUGGUUCAACAGUGAAAGACGGUCUUGCUGUCACUUAUAGAUGGAUCCGCGCUGCAUUAGCUAGUUGGUAAGGUAACGGCUUACCAAGGCAACGAUGCAUAGCCGACCUGAGAGGGUGACCGGCCACACUGGAACUGAGACACGGUCCAGACUCCUACGGGAGGCAGCAGUGGGGAAUCUUGCGCAAUGGGCGAAAGCCUGACGCAGCAACGCCGCGUGCAGGAUGAAGGUCUUCGGAUCGUAAACCGCUGUUAUUAGGGAAGAACAGAUGUGUAAGAAAAUGUGCACAUCUUGACGGUACCGAAUCAGAAAGCCACGGCUAACUACGUG
rnacentral:rRNA from 1 species